UACAGAGGGUGCGAGCGUUAAUCGGAAUUACUGGGCGUAAAGCGUGCGCAGGCGGUUUUGUAAGACAGGCGUGAAAUCCCCGAGCUCAACUUGGGAAUUGCGCUUGUGACUGCAAGGCUAGAGUGUGUCAGAGGGGGGUAGAAUUCCACGUGUAGCAGUGAAAUGCGUAGAGAUGUGGAGGAAUACCGAUGGCGAAGGCAGCCCCCUGGGACAUGACUGACGCUCAUGCACGAAAGCGUGGGGAGCAAACAGG
rnacentral:rRNA from 1 species